rnacentral:rRNA from 1 species
GAGCCUGAAUCAGUGUGUGUGUUAGUGGAAGCGUCUGGAAAGGCGCGCGAUACAGGGUGACAGCCCCGUACACAAAAAUGCACAUGCUGUGAGCUCGAUGAGUAGGGCGGGACACGUGGUAUCCUGUCUGAAUAUGGGGGGACCAUCCUCCAAGGCUAAAUACUCCUGACUGACCGAUAGUGAACCAGUACCGUGAGGGAAAGGCGAAAAGAACCCCGGCGAGGGGAGUGAAAAAGAACCUGAAACCGUGUACGUACAAGCAGUGGGAGCACGCUUAGGCGUGUGACUGCGUACCUUUUGUAUAAUGGGUCAGCGACUUAUAUUCUGUAGCAAGGUUAACCGAAUAGGGGAGCCGAAGGGAAACCGAGUCUUAACUGGGCGUUAAGUUGCAGGGUAUAGACCCGAAACCCGGUGAUCUAGCCAUGGGCAGGUUGAAGGUUGGGUAACACUAACUGGAGGACCGAACCGACUAAUGUUGAAAAAUUAGCGGAUGACUUGUGGCUGGGGGUGAAAGGCCAAUCAAACCGGGAGAUAGCUGGUUCUCCCCGAAAGCUAUUUAGGUAGCGCCUCGUGAAUUCAUCUCCGGGGGUAGAGCACUGUUUCGGCAAGGGGGUCAUCCCGACUUACCAACCCGAUGCAAACUACGAAUACCGGAGAAUGUUAUCACGGGAGACACACGGCGGGUGCUAACGUCCGUCGUGAAGAGGGAAACAACCCAGACCGCCAGCUAAGGUCCCAAAGUCAUGGUUAAGUGGGAAACGAUGUGGGAAGGCCCAGACAGCCAGGAUGUUGGCUUAGAAGCAGCCAUCAUUUAAAGAAAGCGUAAUAGCUCACUGGUCGAGUCGGCCUGCGCGGAAGAUGUAACGGGGCUAAACCAUGCACCGAAGCUGCGGCAGCGACGCUGAUGCGUUGUUGGGUAGGGGAGCGUUCUGUAAGCCUGCGAAGGUGUGCUGUGAGGCAUGCUGGAGGUAUCAGAAGUGCGAAUGCUGACAUAAGUAACGAUAAAGCGGGUGAAAAGCCCGCUCGCCGGAAGACCAAGGGUUCCUGUCCAACGUUAAUCGGGGCAGGGUGAGUCGACCCCUAAGGCGAGGCCGAAAGGCGUAGUCGAUGGGAAACAGGUUAAUAUUCCUGUACUUGGUGUUACUGCGAAGGGGGGACGGAGAAGGCUAUGUUGGCCGGGCGACGGUUGUCCCGGUUUAAGCGUGUAGGCUGGUUUUCCAGGCAAAUCCGGAAAAUCAAGGCUGAGGCGUGAUGACGAGGCACUACGGUGCUGAAGCAACAAAUGCCCUGCUUCCAGGAAAAGCCUCUAAGCAUCAGGUAACAUCAAAUCGUACCCCAAACCGACACAGGUGGUCAGGUAGAGAAUACCAAGGCGCUUGAGAGAACUCGGGUGAAGGAACUAGGCAAAAUGGUGCCGUAACUUCGGGAGAAGGCACGCUGAUAUGUAGGUGAAGUCCCUCGCGGAUGGAGCUGAAAUCAGUCGAAGAUACCAGCUGGCUGCAACUGUUUAUUAAAAACACAGCACUGUGCAAACACGAAAGUGGACGUAUACGGUGUGACGCCUGCCCGGUGCCGGAAGGUUAAUUGAUGGGGUUAGCGCAAGCGAAGCUCUUGAUCGAAGCCCCGGUAAACGGCGGCCGUAACUAUAACGGUCCUAAGGUAGCGAAAUUCCUUGUCGGGUAAGUUCCGACCUGCACGAAUGGCGUAAUGAUGGCCAGGCUGUCUCCACCCGAGACUCAGUGAAAUUGAACUCGCUGUGAAGAUGCAGUGUACCCGCGGCAAGACGGAAAGACCCCGUGAACCUUUACUAUAGCUUGACACUGAACAUUGAGCCUUGAUGUGUAGGAUAGGUGGGAGGCUUUGAAGUGUGGACGCCAGUCUGCAUGGAGCCGACCUUG